rnacentral:lncRNA from 1 species
GGGCGGUUUGAAAGAUCGGCGCGCACCGCAGGAGCAACGGUUGGUCCUGCGGCUGUGAUGUCGGUGUUGAGGCCCCUGGACAAGCUGCCCGGCCUGAACACGGCCACCAUCUUGCUGGUGGGCACGGAGGAUGCUCUUCUGCAGCAGCUGGCGGACUCGAUGCUCAAAGAGGACUGCGCCUCCGAGCUGAAGGUGUAAGUAGCCGCGGCUGUGGCCUGGGCCCACGUGUCUCUCACUCCAGAGGGAUUCGGUCCUAGCUGCUAAACUCCGAAGCCCAGCGCCCCCUCCUCUGAGGCUGGUCCU